rnacentral:rRNA from 1 species
GUUUAAAGGGAGCGUAGGCCGGAGAUUAAGCGUGUUGUGAAAUGUAGACGCUCAACGUCUGCACUGCAGCGCGAACUGGUUUCCUUGAGUACGCACAAAGUGGGCGGAAUUCGUGGUGUAGCGGUGAAAUGCUUAGAUAUCACGAAGAACUCCGAUUGCGAAGGCAGCUCACUGGAGCGCAACUGACGCUGAAGCUCGAAAGUGCGGGUAUCGAACAGGAUUAGAUACCCUGGUAGUCCGCACGGUAAACGAUGGAUGCCCGCUGUUGGUCUGAAUAGGUCAGCGGCCAAGCGAAAGCAUUAAGCAUCCCACCUGGGGAGUACGCCGGCAACGGUGCAACUCAAAUGAAUUGACGG